GGCCUAGUGGCGAAAGGUCCGCGUCUGCGAUACUUGAGCCUGUAGAUUCAUUGCAAUGAUCUUACGCAGAAUAUGCUUGUUCGAAUCGAGCCUGGGCCA